rnacentral:rRNA from 1 species
AUUUGGGGCCAUACCACCCUGAACCUGCCCGAUCUCCUCUGAUCUCAGAAGCUAAGCAGGGUCCAGCCUGGUUAGUACUCAGAUAGGAGACCACCUAAGAAUACUAGGUGCUGUACAUC